CAGUAGCCGCGGUAAUACAGAGGUCUCAAGCGUUGUUCGGAUUCAUUGGGCGUAAAGGGUGCGUAGGCGGUCGGGUAAGUCGGAUGUGAAAUCCUGGGGCUCAACCUCAGAACUGCAUUCGAUACUGCUUGGCUAGAGGACUGGAGAGGAGACUGGAAUUCACGGUGUAGCAGUGAAAUGCGUAGAUAUCGUGAGGAAGACCAGCGGCGAAGGCGGGUCUCUGGACAGUUCCUGACGCUGAUGCACGAAGGCCAGGGGAGCAAACGGGAUUAGAUACCCGUGUAGUCCCUGUCUCUUAUAC
rnacentral:rRNA from 1 species